rnacentral:lncRNA from 1 species
GAGUAGAGAGACUCAAGGAUUAUGUGAAACAAUGACACCCUUGUAUUCUUGGCUUUUUGUGUUUUAUGACAGAAUUUCCUAGGGAGAUACAAGGGGACUUUUGACUACUGGAUCGGCCUGCACAGAGUCGUCAAAGCACCCUUGGAGGUGGACAGACAACACUGAGUAUAACAACAUGAACUCAGCAACCCAUGGCCGCUGGUGGCGACACUGCACAGAGAGUCAACAGAACACUUUUGGUGGUGGACAGACAACACUGAAUAUAUCAGCUUGUAUGUUUCAGACUGCUUUUCCUUCUAUUGUGUUCCUGUGGUGUGAUGUUUGUCAAUUAUAGCUAAUGAAAGAAAAUGAGAUUUUAUAUCUUGUGAUUCAUGUAAAAGAGUUGUCUAUGAGCCGUGGCCUGGGGCCGAGAACAAAGCAGAACAGACAGGGCUGUUGUUAAGACAUUCCUAAGAACAAAUUGAUUGUACAAGCAGGGCUACCUUGUCUGGGUCAACACCACCUGGCCGGAACCUCCCCUCUGUCUACUGCCCCUUGACUUCGGGUAAAGUCAUACAUCAGCUGGUUGCUAUGUGAACAAAAUAAGCCCCCAGCUCACAGGAACAAAGUCCUGAUGCCCUUUUGCUAACAUGUAAUCUUUCUGUUAAUGUUUAAAUAAGCCAAUAGUGUGUCACUAUGCUGAAUUUCACACCCCUAAGCUCCUUACCCCAUAAAAACCCCUAGCUUUCGAGCCUCGUGGCCGACCUCCAUUAUCUCCUGUAUGGGAUGCAUGUUGGUCCGGAGCUCCAUCAUUAAAUGUCCUCAUGUAAUUACAUCAAGAGAUGGUCCUUCGUGAUUUUUUGGGUGCACACCGAAUCGGGAAUUGGGUGGGGGUUUCCCCACUAGGUCUAACACUAUGAGAUGUGACAAGCUGAGUAUGUGAAGCCAAGUAUACUGGAAUGGAGGAGAAAUAAGCUCUUGGUCUGGACAUAUGGCCGCAGCAAACCAUAUGUCCCCUCAGAUCUAACCCCUUCACUCUGCAAGCUCUAAAUCCCCUCAUAUCUAAUUGCUUUUUCUGCCCUUCCAUUUACUAGCUGCAAUUGUAGAAACUCUAUCCUUGCUGUGAUUUCACUUAAAUCCUUAGUGUUGUGGUGGAGUCUGGGCUAGCUCUUGUCUACUCCUUUACCAAUUAAAAUGAUUCCUUGCUAUAAGCAUGCUAUGUAGCAUGUAGACAGAACUGCAUAUGAGUACUUGGGAUUCUAGUGUCUCCCCAAAUCACUGCUCAGUGUAAGUGUGAGACUCAUCAGCCCACUCUUUGCCCAACUGCACCUGUUCACCUGCACAGGCUGCAGGGU